CGGCAAGUCAUCCUUGGCU
rnacentral:snRNA from 1 species